UACAGAGGGGGCAAGCGUUGUUCGGAAUUACUGGGCGUAAAGGGCGCGUAGGCGGCCUUCUAAGUCGAACGUGAAAUCCCCGGGCUCAACCCGGGAACUGCGUCCGAGACUGAAAGGCUUGAGUCCGGUAGAGGAGCAGGGAAUUCCUGGUGUAGCGGUGAAAUGCGCAGAUAUCAGGAGGAACACCAGCGGCGAAGGCGGCGUCCUGGCUCGCAUCUGACGCUCAGACACGACAGCAUGGGGAGCGAACGGG
rnacentral:rRNA from 1 species